GAGCGGGCGUAGCAAUACGUCAGCGGAAGACGGGUGAGUAACGCGUGGGAACGUACCUUUUGGCUCGGAACAACACAGGGAAACUUGUGCUAAUAGCGGAUAAGCCCUUACGGGGAAAGAUUUAUCGCCGAAAGAUCGGCCCGCGUCUGAUUAGCUAGUUGGUAGGGUAAUGGCCUACCAAGGCGACGAUCAGUAGCUGGUCUGAGAGGAUGAUCAGCCACAUUGGGACUGAGACACGGCCCAAACUCCUACGGGAGGCAGCAGUGGGGAAUAUUGGACAAUGGGGGCAACCCUGAUCCACCCAUGCCGCGUGAGUGAUGAAUGCCCUAGGGUUGUAAAGCUCUUUUGUGCGGGAAGAUAAUGACGGUACCCGCAAGAAUAAGCCCCGGCUAGAUUCGUG
rnacentral:rRNA from 1 species